rnacentral:lncRNA from 1 species
UAGGGAGGUUAUGAUGAUUUUGAAAUAUCUUUUUGUUGAUUCAAUUGUUUCUAAUAGCAAUAAUCUUGGACGGCCUUCUUCUAUAGGCAAUCGAUUGUUGUUGUUUUGAUUUAGUUGUUGAUGAAAUAUUAAAUCUGAGCCUCCUCUUCCUCUUCCUUUCUUUAAUGUUCUAACUAUUUUUAAAUUUUUUUAUGAUUAAUAUAAGGUUUCAUUAUAUGAUAUAGAU